AUGAUAAACUUUUCGGAGAGCAUCACUGUUAAUGUGAAGGGUUCAGGCGUGGACAUUCAGGCUUCAGUGCAGCAGUCGCCAUCUGAGACCAUCCAGCCUGGAGACUCUGUGACUCUGAACUGUACGGUACAUACUGGGACUUGUGAUGGAGAACACAGCGUUUACUGGUUCAGAACUGAAGAAGAUUCCCAACCAGGACUCAUUUACACCGACGGAGGCAAGAAUGAUCAGUGUGAGAGAAAACCCAACACACAAACACGCACCUGUGUCCACAACCUGCCGAUGAAGAACCUGUCUCAUGCUGGAACCUACUACUGUGCUGUUGCCUCCUGUGGACACAUCGUGUUUGGAAACGGGACCAAGCUGAGCGAUGAGGGUGAGUAA